AAAAUCUUAAGUUAAUUAAACUAUUUGACUUGCACUCAAAAAAUGUGGUUGCCUCAGAUUUUA
rnacentral:tRNA from 1 species